CCCAGAGCAGGAAGAGGAGGAGGAAGGCUCCGGGAUGAAGGCCGGGGGAGGCGGCAGCGGGCCUCCAGAGCGCCCGGUCCUGCUGGAGCAGAGCCACUCUCUGCUGCGGUCCCAUCCAUUUGAGGUGAUCGCUACCUGGAGCGCGGUCAGCUCGCCUCAUUAUUGUGCAAAUUGCUGGGAAUGCAAAUCGGGUGCACCUGGGGACCGGGGUGUUUGGAGGCAACUUUAAUUGUGGUGACAACAGACGACAUCUCGCCAGCAGCCGGUGGCAGCGGCCAGUCCGGCGCCGCACAUCCAACUGCGUCUGCAACGCUGAUGAAUGUCCGCUGCAAUUAACAACCCUGCCCAUGUGGUGCCCCCCGCCAGAGCGGCCAGGCAUCCCCCCAAGCAUCCCUUCGGUGAGGGAGGGGCCACCCACUCGGGGCAGGGAAGGCAGAGCCCCCGCAUUCCCCUGGAGCAGCCCCCAGCCCCCACGCAAGUUGCGAUGCCACCGGCCAGCAGCCCCUGCCUCAUCCAUAACCAGCUCCCUGCCCACACCUGACCUCUUACUAUAGCAAAGUUCACACCAAUUUUCCUUCCCCUCAUUUGUCUGUAAACCAUGAAGAAAAAUCACCACCAUCCACCCGCAUCAGGCCACCGCGGUGAUGUAUGGCUGUAAUAAAAACCCCAUUUGGGGAGGCCACCUUCCCCAUGCCGCCAGCCCGUGUGACAUGCAUGGCACAGGGCUGGGGCUGCCAGCGCCCGUGGGCAGCCAGCGCCAGCCUGGCCCCCCCACACUUCCAUCUUGGUCUCGCUGCAGCUGGCGGCCGUGACCAGGAGCUGCCGGAGCCAUUAUGGAGCCGCAGCAUCUGCACCAUGUUCAGGCAGUUGGUGCCAUUAGCACCUGAGAACAGGAUCGUGGGGACUGGAGGGGGCAGCAUCCUGCCUGGGCCGGGCACCCUUCAAACUUGGGGUCAGACCUGGGACCACACACUGCAGCCCUGCCUGAGUUCCCUGUGCAGCCCCACUGGCUCCAGAAGAAUGGGGUGCUGGGGACAGGGAGACAAGGACAGGGAGAUGGGGGUCUGGGAUCCCUCCCUUCGUGCCUGCCUCACACAGGGGCUUUCAUCUCUGCAGCAGCCACGCUGCUGGCUCAGGGCUGAGCAGAAGCAGGUGGGGAGGGAGCUGAAUAAUAAAUUGGCAUUUUCAAGA